GUAAUACUUACGAGAUUGCUUUUAAACACUGAUGUGAUGAAAACAUGCCACAAUGAAAAUCAAUAGCUCCAGUGUGUGUGGAUUUGUAUUUAAAGAAAGAAACGCAGAAUUAGUGUCACAAGCCACCUUAAAAUGCAAUCUAACGAACGGCAUUGUAUUCCACUGUGUGGCGCUGCAAAUGUGCAAAAGCAAAUCACAAUGCAUAGGAUUGCAUUCCGUCUAGGCAAGCGCUGUAAUCGUGCCACAUGUAAAUUUAAUAACUGUCCAAUAGGAGUGCUCCCUCAAAUUUGGGGCGGGGCUUAGACAUCAGUCAGAAGCAAUCACUGGUAGUUGUACUUGAAAGCUGAAUAAAUGUCUUUUCGUGACAGGAUAAAAGAGCAAAUAAACACUGUAAUUGAACAAAUUGAGGCUGGGUCAGUUACAGACGACUAUGUGAUUUUCAAACUGGAGUGGAUUUUAGAGAACACAGGCCAUGUUCUCACACUUCGCGGCGAAGACUUUCCAGAAACCUUCAAAAAUGCACUGAGGAACAUUCUGGAACAACUCUGUGCUCCAGCAGUCCAACCGAGAGCAGGAGGACCUCAGAAAAUACCUGUCCCACUCAGCGGUAUAAUUCGCUAUCUCAGCCUUGGAUUAUCAGUACCAGCUGUUGCAAAAAUAUUCGGCGUAUCAGUUCGAACCCUUCGAAGGCGAAUGGAGGAAAAUGACGUGCGGUACGUCUAUCAAAUAUAACUACGUUAUAGAGUGGCUGAUUUCUACAACAACCUCUCAGAUGAGGAACUUGACGGUGUUGUAAGGGAUUUGCAGCGUAUGUUCCCUAACUCGGGGUACCGGAUGAUGCAAGGCUAUCUUAAAGGAAGAGGAAUUAGAGUUCAAGAGCACAGACUGAAACAGUCAAUGCUGCGCACAGACCCUCAAGGAUUGCUUGAGCGUACACUCUGUCUACAUACUGUUAGAAGGAGAGUGUACAAUGUUCCUGCUCCAAAUUGCCUUUGG